UAUUUUUUGAGAGACACGUAAGAACUAAAAUCAUUAAACUGUAAGCAUUGAAAUGGAACGGACGUGGCUCUUCUUGACAAUUCUAAUCCUUGUCUUCUGCGGUUACAGAUGCAGUUCGGCGCAAAAUGAAGUGGCCAGAAGAAGAUUAUUGGACGAUCUACAAAAAUUUAAUAAUUUAACAUGGACGUAUAUAGAAGAGUUUCAGCACGAUCUAAGCAGUCUAAACGUGAAUGAUAUUCUGCAAGACCUGAUAGAUCAAAAUAUCACUGGCAAUCAAAAACAUACGAUGUUUUGUCCUAAACGAAGCGGAAUUUUUCACAUUCGCGUAAACAGUUCAAAGCCCUUUCCUGUUCUUUGUGAUUCGGAUAUAGCUGGACCUGGUUGGAUGGUUGUUUUGAAACGUUCUGAUGGCCAAACAAAUUUCUUUCGUAAAUGGAAACAAUACCAAGAAGGAUUUGGUGACUUAACUAGUGAAUUUUUCAUAGGAUUAGAAAAGUUACAUGUGUUAACUUCUGAAAAGCCCCACGAAGUUUAUUAUUUUUUUGGAAGACUUCGACGGCAACACGCGAUAUGCCAGAUAUGACGACUUUUUAGUAGGAAACAAAACUUCAUUCUAUACAUUGGAGAAACUUGGCAAGUACACCGGAAAUGCCGGUGAUGCAAUGACUUAUGUUGCCGGCCAGAGAUUUUACACUUACGACAGUGACCAUAAAGCUGAUAAGUGCGCUUCAAGGCGCGCUAGUGCUGGAUGGUUUGACAACUGCACAAAAUGUAAUCUUUUUGGACUGUACUUGGAGGGAUAUUAUGCCGGUUUUCAUCAUUAUAGAGGAAUGUGGUGGGAAUAUUGGCGUGGCGAUCUUUACUCGCUCAAAACAGUGCAAAUGAUGAUAAGGCCAAAGUGUUCUUGCUAAACAUAAAAAAAAAAAACAAAGAAUAA